GUGUCAGCAGCCGCGGUAACACGUAGGGGACGAGCGUUGUCCGGAAUUAUUGGGCGUAAAGCGCGCGUAGGCGGUCCGGAAAGUCGGUCGUGAAAUCCGGGGGCUCAACCCCCGAACUGCGUCCGAUACUUCCGGGCUGGAGGCAGGUAGGGGAGAUCGGAAUUCCUGGUGUAGCGGUGAAAUGCGCAGAUAUCAGGAGGAACACCGGUGGCGAAGGCGGAUCUCUGGGCCUUGCCUGACGCUGAGGCGCGAAAGCUAGGGGAGCGAACAGGAUUAGAAACCCCCGUAGUCC
rnacentral:rRNA from 1 species